GGGGGGGUCAAGCGUUUGUUCGGAAUUACUGGGCGUAAAGGGCUCGUAGGCGGCCAACUAAGUCGGACGUGAAAUCCCUCGGCUCAACCGAGGAACUGCGUCCGAUACUGGAUGGCUUGAGUCCGGGAGAGGGAUGCGGAAUUCCAGGUGUAGCGGUGAAAUGCGUAGAUAUCUGGAGGAACACCGGUGGCGAAGGCGGCAUCCUGGACCGGGCACUGACGCUGAGGAGCGAAAGCCAGGGGAGCAAACGGGAUUAGAUACCCCGGUAGUCCUGGCCCUAAACGAUGAAUGCUUGGUGUGGCGGGUAUCGAUCCCUGCCGUGCCCGAAGCUAACGCGAUAAGCAUUCCGCCUGGGGAGUACGGUCGCAAGGCUG
rnacentral:rRNA from 1 species